GCCUGGGUGGCUCAGUCAGUUGAGCAUCUGACUUCGGCUCAGGUCAUGAUCUCACGGUUUGUGAGUUCGAGCCCCGUGUCGGGCU
rnacentral:tRNA from 1 species